rnacentral:rRNA from 1 species
UAAUAUAAGAAAUUUACAUAAAUAAUAUUAUUAACUAACCAGAAGUCAGAAACUAAUUAAAAUUAAAUUUAUAAAAAAUAUAAUUAAAUACAAAACCAAAAAAUUAUAUAAAUUUGAUGUAAGUAAAGAUUAACUUCUUUUACCUUUUGUAUCAGGGCUAAUUAAAAAUCAAAAAGAUACUUUAAUGUCUCGAAAUCUACUAACAUAUAAAAAUUUUAUAUUAUUACCAUCUAAGAGGUAAAAUCAAUAAAUUUUUAGAUUUCAAAUAAAAUCAUGUUUUAAAUAUCUAGUUAUUAAAUAAAAUAAUUUAAUUAGAUAUUGUUUUAUUAUUAAAUAAUUUAAAUUACAAAUUUAAACAAUAAAAAACUUUAAAAGUUAAGUGUUAAAGUAAAAUAAAUUAGAAUACCAAAUAUAUCUAAAUAAAGCUGAUAAUCUUUAAUAUAAAACCAUAUAAAAAUGUAGAAAUUUAAUUCCAGAUUUUAAAUAAAAAUUAUUUUAACAUUUAAUUAAAUCUAAAUAAAACUAAAUAAACUAAAAUGAUUAUAUAAAUAUACAAUUUAUAUUUAAAUUAAUAAUUAGGCAAUUAAAUAGUUUCCAACUGUUUACCAAAAACAUAGUCUAAGGAGGAAAAUUUUAGAUAAGCUCUGCUCAAUGACAAAUUUAAAUAGCUGCAGUAAAUUAACUGUACUAAGGUAGCAUAAUAAAUUGCUUUAUAAUUAAAAGCUUGAAUGAAAGAAACAAUGUGAAACAAACUUUUUAAACUAAAAAAGUAAAAAUUAAUAUCUAAGUGAAAAAUCUUAAAUUAAAUCAAAAGACAAGAAGACCCUUUAGAACUUUAUAAGUUAAACUAUACUCAUUAAAUUGACUUAUUAAGUUGGGGAGAUUUUUAAAUAAAUAAAUCUUUAAAUAUAAAAAAAUGAUCUACCUCAAAUUAAAUUAUCCAAGUAUGAAAUAAAAUAAGUUACCUAAGGGAUAACAGCGCAAAAUUUUUGAGAAGCUCUUAUUCACAAAAUAAAUUGCGACCUCGAUGUUGGAUUAAGAAUAACUUAUAAAGAAAAAUUUUUAAGGAUUGGUCUGUUCGCCCAAAUGAUUCUUACAUGAUCUGAGUUCAGACCGGCGUAAGCCAGGUCAGUUUAUAUCUUUGAUUAUAAAUAGCACUACACUACAGUACGAAAGGAUCUAGAGAAGUAAAUUUUUU